rnacentral:rRNA from 1 species
GACGAACCGUGCGAACGUUGUUCGGAUUCACUGGGCUUAAAGGGCGCGUAGGCGGGUCAGCAAGUCCGGGGUGAAAGCUUUCGGCUCAACCGGAAAAGGGCCUUGGAUACUGCUGGUCUGGAGGAAGGUAGGGGCGUGUGGAACUUCCGGUGGAGCGGUGAAAUGCGUAGAUAUCGGAAGGAACGCCGGUGGCGAAAGCGACACGCUGGACCUUUUCUGACGCUGAGGCGCGAAAGCCAGGGGAG